rnacentral:misc_RNA from 1 species
UUUCUGGGAACCAUCUACAUGAAGCGACUGUGCAGACUGCACAGAAGCGGAUAAGACAUCUGUUUAGUGUCGGCCUAGUCUGCGGACGAAGCUGAUCGCGCAUGCAGGUGUUUUUGAGCGAAAGCUCUCCCCUUUGGGGCGUAAACAUUUGGCGAUGGAGUGUUCCGGGUAAAGCAGCGCUUAGUUUACUAAGGUUGUGUAGCCCAAGGAGCGUCCAUUACCAGGAUGGCUCUGAAAAGAGUCAGAACUCCAACAGGACUGGGUUGCUAUUUUAGCACCCGGGAAAGUUGAGAGGUUUGUAUGGAUGCGCGAUGCGUAACGAUAGCUCUACACGUCUCUAGCAAGAAACUCCUGCAAAAACCAGCUCGUCUGGGCGGGAAUACUUGCACCGAAGAUGUACCUGCUAAGAAUCAAUUCGCAAUUGCGUUUUGUUUUCUAGGCUGGUGCUUCUAGGAAGAGCGAUGAGAGGGCCAUAAAAACCAGGGACGCCUAUCAGCUUUUGCUGAUAGUGUGUCCACUGGCGGUUCCUUCGGAGCCAUGGUUCUAUCUGAGAACUCCGUUCUCACGUAACAGAGCAAUCAGCUUGCUGGUCGCUCUGUUGCUACGAUAGA